ACAGCAGCAGCCGCGGGAAUACGAAGGGUGCAAGCGUUGGUCGGAAUUACUGGGCGUAAAGCGUGCGUAGGCGGUGAGUUAAGUCUGCUGUGAAAUCCCCGGGCUCAACCUGGGAAUGGCAAUGGAUACUGGCAAGCUAGAGUGUGUCAGAGGAUGGUGGAAUUCCCGGUGUAGCGGUGAAAUGCGUAGAUAUGCGGAGGAACACCGAUGGCGAAGGCAGCCCCCUGGGCCAAUACUGACGCUCAUGCACGAAAGCGUGGGGAGCAAACAGGAUUAGAUACCCGUGUAGUCCCUGUCUCUUAUAC
rnacentral:rRNA from 1 species